rnacentral:misc_RNA from 1 species
UUAAGCGAAAGUCCGGCUUGAGUUGACCUCACUGGCAAGUAUUGGAUUAAGAGUAUUGUAUAGGGAAUCAACUCUCAUAUAUUUAUUGAUGUAACACAUAGGUGCAUGCGUGCUCCAAAUUAUCUUUUGUGUGAAUAUUGAUUGAAUUGUUUGAAUUAUGUAAACGUAUUGCAUUUCAUACAUAGGAUGCGCUAGAUUUAGAUAGUUAUAGAAAUUAUAUUUAAAAUCGAUAUCUAAACUUUCUGAGUCAAACGCUCAUUACUGUUUAAAUAUUUUUCUCAGGUUACAGGAGAAGCGAGCUUAUUCUUUGAGUUUAACCUGUAUUUUACUCCGCAGGUUGUGGUGCUUCUUAGUUUAGUAGUUUUUAUUGUGUCUAUUUUUUUUAUUUAUUUAUCUAUUUCUUUAAUUACUAAAACUCCAUUGUGACAUUAGUUUAUGAAUAUAUUGUAUCAACUUAUGAAGAGUUUAUAAUAUUAUAUUGUUUGUACAUGUUGUGUCAUGGUUGAGCUAGACUCCCUGAGUAGUGAAUUCUGGUAGUUAUCAGGUUGAGUUGUCCUCCAAAUAAAUUUAUAAUAAUUUAUUUUAUCUUGUUUUACACGUUGGGUCUUGAAUUUUUUAAUCUGGUUAUAGAUUUGAGAACAAUAAGACUUACUAUAGAUUUUGGGAGCUUUAUGCUGUUCCAAGUCCUAGUGUUGAUUCGGCUCAUGAAAUUGGGUCGUAACAUUUUUCACAAAAUAAAAUAAUUUUACUUUAUUUUAGAUAAAGUAAGCAUAUGAUUUACCUCACUUAAACAUUAUUUUCUAAAAAAACAUUUCCUUUGUUUAAUUAAUUUAAAUUGUAUUAAAUAUUUUUAAUUUCUAAUGCUUUUAUAUUAAUAAAUUUCAAUUUUUUCUAACAUUACGAAAUUACAAAUUCAGAUAAUUAAUUAUGAAAUUAUAAAUUCGUGCCUCAACUAAAAUCCAAUCAUCUUAGCGAUAUAUUUUCUUACAAUUUCUUUAUUAAAUUUUUAAUUGAAAACUUAUCUUGGGUGAUUUUCACUAGUAGUAUGGUGCAAUCAGUAGCAUAGCAGGCGCCUAUUUUAUAAUCCCUUUAGCAUAUGUUUACCAAAAGAUAUUAAAAUUUUAUUU